GCAGGCUUAAACAUGCAAGUCGAGGGGUAACAUUGUGCUUGCACAGAUGACGACCGGCGCACGGGUGCGUAACGCGUAUAGAACCUACCUUUUACAGAGGAAUAGCCUUUAGAAAUGAAGAUUAAUGCCUCAUGGUAUUGUAGACUGGCAUCAGUUUAUAAUUAAAGAUUUAUCGGUAAAAGAUGGCUAUGCGUCCUAUUAGUUAGUUGGUAAGGUAACGGCUUACCAAGACAGCGAUAGGUAGGGGUCCUGAGAGGGAGAUCCCCCACACUGGUACUGAGACACGGACCAGACUCCUACGGGAGGCAGCAGUGAGGAAUAUUGGACAAUGGAGGAGACUCUGAUCCAGCCAUGCCGCGUGUAGGAAGAAUGCCCUAUGGGUUGUAAACUACUUUUAUACAGGAAGAAACACUGGUAUGUAUACCAGCUUGACGGUACUGUAAGAAUAAGGACCGGCUA
rnacentral:rRNA from 1 species